rnacentral:rRNA from 1 species
GAUGAACGCUGGCGGCGUGCCUAAUACAUGCAAGUCGAGCGGACAGAUGAGGAGCUUGCUCCUCUGACGUUAGCGGCGGACGGGUGAGUAACACGUGGAUAACCUACCUAUAAGACUGGGAUAACUUCGGGAAACCGGAGCUAAUACCGGAUAAUAUAUUGAACCGCAUGGUUCAAUAGUGAAAGACGGUUUUGCUGUCACUUAUAGAUGGAUCCGCGCCGCAUUAGCUAGUUGGUAAGGUAACGGCUUACCAAGGCGACGAUGCGUAGCCGACCUGAGAGGGUGAUCGGCCACACUGGAACUGAGACACGGUCCAGACUCCUACGGGAGGCAGCAGUAGGGAAUCUUCCGCAAUGGGCGAAAGCCUGACGGAGCAACGCCGCGUGAGUGAUGAAGGUCUUCGGAUCGUAAAACUCUGUUAUUAGGGAAGAACAAAUGUGUAAGUAACUAUGCACGUCUUGACGGUACCUAAUCAGAAAGCCACGGCUAACUACGUG